UGCUACAGGCUUAACACAUGCAAGUCGAGGGGCAGCAUUUCAGUUUGCUUGCAAACUGGAGAUGGCGACCGGCGCACGGGUGAGUAACACGUAUCCAACCUGCCGAUAACUCGGGGAUAGCCUUUCGAAAGAAAGAUUAAUACCCGAUGGUAUAAUCAGACCGCAUGGUCUUGUUAUUAAAGAAUUUCGGUUAUCGAUGGGGAUGCGUUCCAUUAGGCAGUUGGUGAGGUAACGGCUCACCAAACCUUCGAUGGAUAGGGGUUCUGAGAGGAAGGUCCCCCACAUUGGAACUGAGACACGGUCCAAACUCCUACGGGAGGCAGCAGUGAGGAAUAUUGGUCAAUGGGCGCAGGCCUGAACCAGCCAAGUAGCGUGAAGGAUGACUGCCCUAUGGGUUGUAAACUUCUUUUAUAUGGGAAUAAAGUUUUCCACGUGUGGAAUUUUGUAUGUACCAUAUGAAUAAGGAUCGGCUAACUCCGUGCCAGCAGCCGCGGUAAUACGGAGGAUCCGAGCGUUAUCCGGAUUUAUUGGGUUUAAAGGGAGCGUAGGUGGACAGUUAAGUCAGUUGUGAAAGUUUGCGGCUCAACCGUAAAAUUGCAGUUGAUACUGGCUGUCUUGAGUACAGUAGAGGUGGGCGGAAUUCGUGGUGUAGCGGUGAAAUGCUUAGAUAUCACGAAGAACUCCGAUUGCGAAGGCAGCUCACUGGACUGCAACUGACACUGAUGCUCGAAAGUGUGGGUAUCAAACAGGAUUAGAUACCCUGGUAGUCCACACAGUAAACGAUGAAUACUCGCUGUUUGCGAUAUACAGUAAGCGGCCAAGCGAAAGCAUUAAGUAUUCCACCUGGGGAGUACGCCGGCAACGGUGAAAUCCAAAGGAAAUUGACGGGGGCCCGCACAAGCGGAGGAACAUGUGGUUUUAAUUUGAUGAUACGCGAGGAACCUUACCCGGGCUUAAAUUUCAUUUGAAUAUAUUGGAAACAGUAUAGCCGUAAGGCAAAUGUGAAGGUGGUGCAUGGUUGUCGUCAGCUCGUGCCGUGAGGUGUCGGCUUAAGUGCCAUAACGAGCGCAACCCUUAUCUUUAGUUACUAACAGGUCAUGCUGAGGACUCUAGAGAGACUGCCGUCGUAAGAUGUGAGGAAGGUGGGGAUGACGUCAAAUCAGCACGGCCCUUACGUCCGGGGCUACACACGUGUUACAAUGGGGGGUACAGAAGGCAGCUACCUGGUGACAGGAUGCUAAUCCCAAAAGCCUCUCUCAGUUCGGAUUGGAGUCUGCAACCCGACUCCAUGAAGCUGGAUUCGCUAGUAAUCGCGCAUCAGCCACGGCGCGGUGAAUACGUUCCCGGGCCUUGUACACACCGCCCGUCAAGCCAUGAAAGCCGGGGGUACCUGAAGUGCGUAAAAGCAAGGAGCGCCCUAGGGUAAAACUGGU
rnacentral:rRNA from 1 species